GAUGAACGCUGGCGGCGUGCUUAACACAUGCAAGUCGAACGGAAAGGCCCAAGCUUGCUUGGGUACUCGAGUGGCGAACGGGUGAGUAACACGUGGGUGAUCUGCCCUGCACUUCGGGAUAAGCCUGGGAAACUGGGUCUAAUACCGGAUAGGACCACUUCUUGGAUGUUGUGGUGGAAAGUUUUUUCGGUGUGGGAUGAGCUCGCGGCCUAUCAGCUUGUUGGUGGGGUAAUGGCCUACCAAGGCGUCGACGGGUAGCCGGCCUGAGAGGGUGUACGGCCACAUUGGGACUGAGAUACGGCCCAGACUCCUACGGGAGGCAGCAGUGGGGAAUAUUGCACAAUGGGCGCAAGCCUGAUGCAGAGACGCCGCGUGGGGGAGGACGGCCUUCGGGUUGAAAACUCCUUUCGCUAGGGACGAAGCGUUUUGUGACGGUACCUGGAGAAGAAGCACCGGCUAACUACGUG
rnacentral:rRNA from 1 species